AACGAACGCUGGCGGCAGGCUUAACACAUGCAAGUCGAACGGGCGUAGCAAUACGUCAGUGGCAGACGGGUGAGUAACACGUGGGAAUAUCCCUUUCAGUUCGGAAUAACUCAGGGAGACUUGAGCUAAUACCGGAUACGUCCUUCGGGAGAAAGAUUUAUCGCUGAGAGAUCAGCCCGCGUCUGAUUAGCUAGUUGGUGAGGUAAUGGCUCACCAAGGCGACGAUCAGUAGCUGGUCUGAGAGGAUGAUCAGCCACACUGGGACUGAGACACGGCCCAGACUCCUACGGGAGGCAGCAGUGGGGAAUAUUGGACAAUGGGGGAAACCCUGAUCCAGCCAUGCCGCGUGAGUGAUGAAGGCCUUAGGGUUGUAAAGCUCUUUUGCCAGGGAAGAUAAUGACUGUACCUGGAGAAUAAGCCCCGGCUAACUUCGUGCCAGCCGCCGCAGUAA
rnacentral:rRNA from 1 species